ACGAAGGACCCGAGCGUUAUCCGGAUUUAUUGGGUUUAAAGGGUGCGUAGGCGGCAUGGCAAGUCGGGAGUGAAAGCCCGGGGCUCAACCCCGGAACGGCUUUCGAAACUGCCAAGCUAGAGUACGGAAGGGGCAACUGGAAUUCCCAGUGUAGCGGUGAAAUGCGUAGAUAUUGGGAAGAACACCGGAGGCGAAGGCGGGUUGCUGGGCCGAUACUGACGCUGAGGCGCGAAAGCCAGGGGAGCAAACAGGA
rnacentral:rRNA from 1 species